rnacentral:rRNA from 1 species
AUUGAACGCUGGCGGCAUGCUUUACACAUGCAAGUCGAACGGUAACAGGCCGCAAGGUGCUGACGAGUGGCGAACGGGUGAGUAAUGCGUCGGAACGUGCCGAGUAGUGGGGGAUAACGCAGCGAAAGUUGUGCUAAUACCGCAUACGUACUGAGGUAGAAAGUGGGGGACCUUCGGGCCUCACGCUAUUCGAGCGGCCGACGUCUGAUUAGCUAGUAGGUGAGGUAAAGGCUCACCUAGGCGACGAUCAGUAGCGGGUCUGAGAGGAUGAUCCGCCACACUGGGACUGAGACACGGCCCAGACUCCUACGGGAGUCAGCAGUGGGGAAUUUUGGACAAUGGGCGAAAGCCUGAUCCAGCCAUGCCGCGUGUCUGAAGAAGGCCUUCGGGUUGUAAAGGACUUUUGUCGGGGAGGAAAUCCCCAGCGCUAAUACCGCUGGGGGAUGACAGUACCUGAAGAAUAAGCACCGGCUAACUACGUGCCAGCCGCCGCCGUAAAAC